GAUCAUGGCUCAGGACGAACGCUGGCGGCGUGCCUAACACAUGCAAGUCGAACGGAGCUAAUUAGAGGAAGUUUUCGGAUGGAAUUUGGUUAGCUUAGUGGCGGACGGGUGAGUAACGCGUGAGCAACCUGCCUUUCAGAGGGGGAUAACGUCUUGAAAAGGACGCUAAUACCGCAUAACAUUAACUUCCCGCAUGGGGGGAUAAUCAAAGGAGCAAUCCGCUGAAAGAUGGGCUCGCGUCCGAUUAG
rnacentral:rRNA from 1 species